rnacentral:rRNA from 1 species
AAAGGAGGCGACUCCGGCAUAGGAUGGCCAUGCGUCGCAUUAGCUAGUCGGCGGGGUAACGGCCCACCGAGGCGACGAUGCGUAGGGGUUCUGAGAGGAAGGUCCCCCACACUGGUACUGAGACACGGACCAGACUCCUACGGGAGGCAGCAGUGAGGAAUAUUGGUCAAUGGGCGCAAGCCUGAACCAGCCAAGUCGCGUGAGGGAAGACGGUCCUAUGGAUUGUAAACCUCUUUUGUCGGGGAGCAAAGCGCGGUACGAGUACCGCGAAGGAGAGUACCCGAAGAAAAAGCAUCGGCUAACUCCGUGCCAGCAGCCGCGGUAAUACGGAGGAUGCGAGCGUUAUCCGGAUUUAUUGGGUUUAAAGGGUGCGUAGGCGGAUUUGUAAGUCAGCGGUAAAAAUGCGGUGCUCAACGCCGUAUCGCCGUUGAAACUGCAGGUCUUGAGUGAGCGAGAAGUAUGCGGAAUGCGUGGUGUAGCGGUGAAAUGCAUAGAUAUCACGCAGAACUCCGAUUGUGAAGGCAGCAUACCGGCGCUCAACUGACGCUGAGGCACGAAAGCGUGGGGAUCGAACAGGAUUAGAUACCCUGGUAGUCCACGCAGUAAACGAUGAAUGCUAACUGUCCGGUCCGCUUAAGGGCUGG